UACGUAGGGUGCGAGCGUUAAUCGGAAUUACUGGGCGUAAAGCGUGCGCAGGCGGUGAGCUGUGUCCGAUGUGAAAGCCCCGGGCUUAACCUGGGAAUGGCAUUGGAAACUGGCUCGCUGGAGUGUGGCAGAGGGGGGUGGAAUUCCGCGUGUAGCAGUGAAAUGCGUAGAUAUCGGGAGGAACACCAGUGGCGAAGGCGACUUCCUGGCCUGUUCUUGACGCUGAGGCGCGAAAGCUAGGGUAGCAAACGGG
rnacentral:rRNA from 1 species